UGGGGAUACGACUACGACCUCGAGCCAUAAGAGGUCGACAACAAAAGAGGGUUUUUCCAUAUAUCAAUCUUCUUGUUGUGUUUCCAUACAUCAACCUAGCUUCUUGCGUUUUUUCUUUCUUCUCAAGAAUAUCGCAACAAUACAAGGGGUUCCUGAAUAGUAAAAAGUAAGUUUCAUUCCUCAAUUUGUUCGGUUUAAUUUAGACUAUACCCUUAUUUUGAAUUGAGGAUUAGAGCCAUUAUUCUCUACCCUUUUUUUAUGCCAACUUCUAUACAUACAUCAAAGCAAUUAGUGUUUAAUUAACAUUGGGAUCUGAACAUUCGCAUACUAAUGGUUAUUUUUGAUUCAACAAUUCAUCUCUACUACCAAUGCAGUCGCAUGGCAAAUGCAGAUAAAAAACCGGAUGGAGCGAGGCAAAUGUGGAGUUGACGUGAAAAAAGAGCAGAGAUGAUGAAUAUAUAGAGUGCGGUCCAUGCAUGCAUCAUCGACUGUCAGGCAAUUUCUGAUCCAUUGAGAUACUUAGGCACGUUUCAAUGCACAGAGUCUAUUAUUAUUUACCAUCAUCAUGUCACGUCACACUAAGUACAUUAGUUAUCGAUCCUACACUCGUCGUCGGCCCAUAUAUCUAGCUAGUGCUCCAGUACGUGCACGGCCUUUAAUUAGACCCAGUCUAGGCUCACCUCAAGGCCACAUAAGCUUUCCCAUUUAUAGAAUUUGAACUGCAAUCGAAUACAUCGUUUUACUAAAAUUAAAAUACAUUUGAAUGGGACAGUUGUUGUACUUCUCAUGAAUGUAAUCUGUACUCCCAAUCAUAUGAGGAAAUCCUCUAGCCCUCUUUCGUCUUAGGUAAAAGACAUCUAAGUACCCGUUUGGUUAGUGGGACUAAUCUUUAGUCCCUAGUUUUUAGUUCCGUUUAGUCUCUAUUUUGUCAAACGGAAAGACUAAGGUAGUGUUUGGUUACUAGGGACUAAUUUUUAGUCUCUCCAUUUUAUUCCACUUUAGUCUAUAAAUUGCAAAAUAUGGAAAUUAUAACUCUAUUUUAGUUUCCAUAUUUGACAAUUU
rnacentral:lncRNA from 1 species